rnacentral:rRNA from 1 species
CCUACGGGCGGCAGCAGUGGGGAAUAUUGGGCAAUGGGCGCAAGCCUGACCCAGCAACGCCGCGUGAAGGAAGAAGGCUUUCGGGUUGUAAACCUCUUUUGAUAGGGAAGAGCAGAAGACGGUACCUGUCGAAUAAGCCACGGCUAAUUACGUGCCAGCAGCCGCGGUAAUACGUAGGUGGCAAGCGUUGUCCGGAUUUACUGGGUGUAAAGGGCGUGUAGCCGGGCUGACAAGUCAGAUGUGAAAUCCGGGGGCUCAACCGCCGAACUGCAUUUGAUACUGGUAGUCUUGAGUAUAGGAGAGGCAGGCGGAAUUCCUGGUGUAGCGGUGAAAUGCGUAGAUAUUAGGAGGAACACCGGUGGCGAAGGCGGCCUGCUGGACGGCAACUGACGGUGAGGCGCGAAAGCGUGGGGAGCAAACAGGAUUAGAUACCCGAGUAGUC